CUACGGGACGCAGCAGCGGGGAAUAUUGGACAAUGGGGGAAACCCUGAUCCAGCAAUGCCGCGUGUGUGAAGAAGGCCUGCGGGUUGUAAAGCACUUUCGGUUGGGAGGACUGCUUCUUGCACUAAUAUUGUUGGAAGUUGACGUUACCUUCAGAAGAAGCACCGGCUAACUCCGUGCCAGCAGCCGCGGUAAUACGGAGGGUGCAAGCGUUAAUCGGAAUUACUGGGCGUAAAGCGCGCGUAGGCGGCUAGAUCAGUCGGGUGUGAAAGCCCCGGGCUUAACCUGGGAACUGCAUCCGAUACUGUCUAGCUUGAGUACAGGAGAGGAGAGUGGAAUUCCACAUGUAGCGGUGAAAUGCGUAGAUAUGUGGAGGAACACCAAUGGCGAAGGCAGCUCUCUGGCCUGAUACUGACGCUGAGGUGCGAAAGCGUGGGGAGCAAAUAGGAUUAGAUACCCUCGUAGUC
rnacentral:rRNA from 1 species